UUGAAAAAAACAUAAAAGUGCGCCUCGUUCUAAAAUUUGAAAAUAUCCAGAUUCUGAUAUCUUUUUCUGAGAAUUUGGAAACAAUUUUUCAAAAACAACAUUAUAAGUUCACUAAAGAAGUUAAGUGAUCUGAAAAAAAU
ensembl:ncRNA W01A11.19 ncRNA